rnacentral:lncRNA from 1 species
AAUAAGUGACUCUUAGUCACUUUUGAUUAGGUGGCAACCUAAUUGAUAGUUAAAAGACACUUAAUUCCUUAGAAUUUGUAUACAAAAGUACUAUAAUCAAAAACGUUAGAAAUUCUUACAAGUUGGUCUCAUAAAACAUUCCAACUUUGAUUUCCUUCUAAUUCAAACUCAAGACAUUUCCAAACCAGACGCUAGAACUCCAUCCGACAACCUUUCAACAAAAUUCUUGCAACAAAACAAUUUCGACGAAAUUUCUUAGCACAUUAGCAACGCGAGAUUUUGUGAUUCUAAGAGAGUACGAUGCAACCUUUUCCAAGAAUAUCAUACGGAUUUUUUCCUACUCCAGGUAUGCUAAGGCUAUCCCUUCUUUCUUUUUGGCAUGACCCAAAUGAUACUGAAAGAAACGAGCAAACGCACAGUUUCCAUAAACGACUCUAUUCAUAGAAAUAUUAGGGAUGACUAUAUUCUUGAUUCCCCAUGUGAAUUAUUAUUAUAUCUUCUGUUCAUGGGUCUCAGAAAAAUACGUAUUUGAUAAAAUUUAUCCGACAGGCAUAUUAUUUUUAUGACAUUCCGAGAAAAUCUUAUUAACGUAUUUCUUAAGGCAUAUUAUUUUUAUGACAUCCGAGAAAAUAUUAUUAACGUAUUUCUUAUGCAUUUCAUGCAUUUAUACAUAUACAUUAACUCAUGACCAGAUAGCGUUAUAUACGCAUAUAUAUGUAUAUUAUAUGUAUAUGGGAUAUGGGAAAAGGUUAUGGCGUUAUAUACGCAUCACCACCUGAUCAGCUGGUAUACGUUGAUGAUUUGCCCACAGUGGCCAAGAUGAUAUGAUGGGGUGCCCUCAGAGGCUUGACGAUGUUAUGAACACAUAUACCAAUGCAUGGUAUGACAUUAUAAAAAUGAAAUGAUUCACAGAGCUAUGCAGACGUAUAUGUCGAGUCUUUUACUCUAUGUUUCUCUCAUGUCUAUUAUUUACUGAUUUUCAUUCCUUACAUACUCGGUUCAUUAUUUGUACUGACGUCCCUUUUGCCUGGGGACGCUGCGUUUCAUGCCCGCAUGUCUCGAUAGACAGGUCGAGAGUCCUCCAAGUAGGCGAUCAGCUCAGCAGAAGAUAUUGGUGCACUCCAUUUGCUCUGGAGUUGCUUGUUUGGUCAGUAUGAUUUAGAUGUGUAUGGUUUGGUAUGGCGGGCCUCUGUCCCGACCUUUAUGACAAUUAUGUACUCUUAGAAGCUUGUAGACAUAUGUGGUGUACGUGAAAGAUUGUACGGCAUUGUCGGCCUAUGUUUUGAGUUUGUAAAUGAUCAUGUUGGCCUAUUAGGCCCGUAUGCCACGUGUAUAUGAUUAAAUAAUAAGAAAGAUACGUUACGUUGGUACUCGGUUGAGUAAGGUACCGGGUGUCCGUCGCGGCCCAUCGGUUUGGGUCGUGACAGAUGCAAUACGAAUUGGUGAUUAUAUUUACUUUUUCAUGUGUAUUAGUACAUGCUGAUUCAUUAAUUGUUUUGACGGACUAUGAUUGGCCUGAAAUUUCGUAGGUCCAUAGGAAACAGCCUAGUAACAAUACUUAUCGCUUUACCAUGACUUUUA